rnacentral:rRNA from 1 species
GGAUUGGUGCCUUCGGGAACUGUGAGACAGGUGCUGCAUGGCUGUCGUCAGCUCGUGUUGUGAAAUGUUGGGUUAAGUCCCGCAACGAGCGCAACCCUUAUCCUUUGUUGCCAGCGAUUAGGUCGGGAACUCAAAGGAGACUGCCAGUGAUAAACUGGAGGAAGGUGGGGAUGACGUCAAGUCAUCAUGGCCCUUACGACCAGGGCUACACACGUGCUACAAUGGCGCAUACAAAGAGAAGCGACCUCGCGAGAGCAAGCGGACCUCAUAAAGUGCGUCGUAGUCCGGAUUGGAGUCUGCAACUCGACUCCAUGAAGUCGGAAUCGCUAGUAAUCGUGGAUCAGAAUGCCACGGUGAAUACGUUCCCGGGCCUUGUACACACCGCCCGUCACACCAUGGGAGUGGGUUGCAAAAGAAGUAGGUAGCUUAACCUUCGGGAGGGCGCUUACCACUUUGUGAUUCAUGACUGGGGUGAAGUCGUAACAAGGUAACCGUAGGGGAACCUGCGGUUGGAUCACCUCCUUACCUUAAAGAAGC